AAUCAACGCUGGCGGCGUGCCUAACACAUGCAAGUCGAACGGGAAAGUACUCUUCGGAGUGCGAGUAGAGUGGCGAACGGGUGAGUAACGCGUGGGUGAUCUACCCUUUGGUGGGGGAUAACCCGGGGAAACCCGGGCUAAUACCGCAUGAGCCUGUAUUUGUAAGUGAGUACAGGGAAAGUCUUUUGGUGCCGAAGGAGGAGUCCGCGUCCGAUUAGCUAGUUGGUGAGGUAAGAGCUCACCAAGGCGACGAUCGGUAGCCGGUCUGAGAGGACGGACGGUCACACUGGGACUGAGACACGGCCCAGACUCCUACGGGAGGCAGCAGUGGGGAAUUUUGGGCAAUGGGCGAAAGCCUGACCCAGCAACGCCGCGUGGAGGAUGAAGGUUUUCGGAUCGUAAACUCCUGUCUAGAGGGACGAAGCAAGUGACGGUACCUCUGGAGGAAGCCCCGGCUAACCCCGUG
rnacentral:rRNA from 1 species